rnacentral:rRNA from 1 species
GUAGGUGGCAAGCGUUGUCCGGAAUUAUUGGGCGUAAAGCGCGCGCAGGUGGUUCUUUAAGUCUGAUGUGAAAGCCCCCGGCUCAACCGGGGAGGGUCAUUGGAAACUGGGGAACUUGAGUGCAGGAGAGGAAAAUGGAAUUCCACGUGUAGCGGUGAAAUGCGUAGAUAUGUGGAGGAACACCAGUGGCGAAGGCGACUUUCUGGCCUGUAACUGACACUGAGGCGCGAAAGCGUGGGGAGCAAACAGGGAUUAGAUACCCUGGUAGUCCACGCCGUAAACGAUGAGUGCUAAGUGUUGGGGGGGUUUCCCGCCCCUCAGUGCUGCAGCUAACGCAUUAAGCACUCCGCCUGGGGAGUACGGUCGCAAGACUG